GACGAACGCUGGCGGCGUGCUUAACACAUGCAAGUCGAACGGCGUGGCGAACGGGUGAGUAACACGUGGGUGACCUGCCCUGCACUUCGUGAUAAGCCUUGGAAACUGGGUCUCAUACCGGAGAGUGUGGGUUGGGCCCGCGGCCUAUCAGCUUGUUGGUGGGGUAAUGUCCUACAAAGGCGGCGACGGGUACCCGGCAUGAGAGGGUGGACGGCCACCAUGGGACUGAGAGACGGACCAGACGCCAACGUGAGGCAGCAGGCGGGAAUAUUGCGCAGUGGGCGGAAGCCUGAUGCAGAGACGCCGCGUGGGGGAUGACGGCCUUCGGGUUGUAAACUCCUUUCACCAUCGACGCGGUAGAUGGAGAAGAAGCACCGGCUAACUACGUGCCAGCAGCCGCGGUAAUAC
rnacentral:rRNA from 1 species